rnacentral:rRNA from 1 species
GACGAACGCUGGCGGCGUGCCUAAUACAUGCAAGUUGAGCGAUGAAGCUUGGUGCUUGCACCAAUUUGAAGAGCAGCGAACGGGUGAGUAACGCGUGGGGAAUCUGCCUUUGAGCGGGGGACAACAUUUGGAAACGAAUGCUAAUACCGCAUAACAACUUUAAACAUAAGUUUUAAGUUUGAAAGAUGCAAUUGCAUCACUCAAAGAUGAUCCCGCGUUGUAUUAGCUAGUUGGUGAGGUAAAGGCUCACCAAGGCGAUGAUACAUAGCCGACCUGAGAGGGUGGUCGGCCACAUUGGGACUGAGACACGGCACAAACGCCUACGGGAGGCAGCAGUAGGGAAUCUUCGGCAAUGGACGAAAGUCUGACCGAGCAACGCCGCGUGAGUGAAGAAGGUUUUCGGAUCGUAAAACUCUGUUGGUAGAGAAGAACGUUGGUGAGAGUGGAAAGCUCAGCAAGUGACGGUAACUACCCAGAAAGGGACGGCUAACUACGUG